AUUGAACGCUGGCGGCAGGCUUAACACAUGCAAGUCGAGCGGAGAUGAGGUGCUUGCACCUUAUCUUAGCGGCGGACGGGUGAGUAAUGCCUAGGAAUCUGCCUAUUAGUGGGGGACAACAUUCCGAAAGGAAUGCUAAUACCGCAUACGUCCUACGGGAGAAAGCAGGGGAUCUUCGGACCUUGCGCUAAUAGAUGAGCCUAAGUCGGAUUAGCUAGUUGGUGGGGUAAAGGCCUACCAAGGCGACGAUCUGUAGCGGGUCUGAGAGGAUGAUCCGCCACACUGGGACUGAAACACGGCCCAGACUCCUACGGGAGGCAGCAGUGGGGAAUAUUGGACAAUGGGGGGAACCCUGAUCCAGCCAUGCCGCGUGUGUGAAGAAGGCCUUAUGGUUGUAAAGCACUUUAAGCGAGGAGGAGGCUACUGAGACUAAUACUCUUGGAUAGUGGACGUUACUCGCAGAAUAAGCACCGGCUAACUCUGUGCCAGCCGCCGCCGUAAAAC
rnacentral:rRNA from 1 species